ACCGAGGCGGAGGUCCCCCGGGCACACGCCCAGAUCCAGGAGGUCGCCGCCAAGCUCGGUAUUGAAGAGACGGACAACCAGUUAGGAAAAUUGCACGUCUAUCUGCAGAAAUUUCGUCCUCAGCACUUCCAGAAGCUUCGAGAAGCGGGCGUGUUGUAACCAACGGAGGGAUGGAGAGGUGGAGACUUCAGUGAGAAAUGGACAUUAUUCUGUGUUAUUUAAACUUGUCUUAAACUUUUCCCUGCUGCAAGCCAAGCAUUUAUUGACAGGUUGAAGAUGCAACGGUUAAUUCAGACACAUAAAGCUCCCAUCACACACCGGCGCUCCCUCGGCGCUGACCCUCCGACAGCGCCCACUCCCUCGGCGCUGACCCUCCGAAAGUGCGGCACUCCCUCAGCGCUGACCCUCCGACAGUGCGGCACUCCCUCGGCGCUGACCCUCCGACAGUGCGGCACUCCCUCGGCACCGACCCUCCGGCGCCCCGCUCCCUCGGCGCCGACCCUCCGACGGCGCCCCGCGCCCUCGGCGCUGAGUGUGCUGUAGGGGUCGCUGAAGGUGAUGACUGGGGCAAUUUCCUGAUGUAGAAGGUUUGAAUGUAAUAAUUGCCAAAACGCUUGAACAAAGUGAAGAAAGUG